ACCCUCAGGGCAUCUGAGCUCUGGUCACCAUGCCCUUGGGCUGAGGUUUGUGUCUUUCUCCAUUUACAGUGACACGUGGGCAAAGGAGUAUCAAGAGUGCCCAAGUCACUGGCAUUAAAACAUAAUUUUCUUUUCAGAAAAAAGACAAAAUCAUGACUCUUAAACAGAUAUAAAGAUGAAUGAGAUAUGUAUGUGUGUAUAUAUACAAAGUUUAGAAAAGGCAUAAAAGCCCAAACGAACAGGUAUGGCAUAACGAAAUGUUGGGAUGAAUUGCAAGCAGAGACAAAACUUUUUUCUAUAGUGGGAAGAAAGUCAACUAAAAUCACUACCAGACAAGAAAGAAUUUACGUGUAAUUACGUACAACUUACAAAGAGUUGAAAAACCGUUUGAAGAUGGAUGAGGAAAAGGACUAGAAUCUGCGAAUCCAGAAGGGUAGGCUAUACACGACACAGGGUUCACUGAAACAGGUUUUUUUUCUAUCCCUGGAUGCCAAACAUAUUCCUCCCUGCGCCCGCUGUGGAAUAGCAGCCCUCUCUUCCUGAUGAUCAGGAUCAAUUAUUCUACCGACUGAUGACUGCUCUUUUUGCUUGCUAGGGCCUGGACAGAGGAAGCCCGAAGUGCCCUAGCUCAUAAUUCAGUGGGACCAGGACCUCCAGUCCUGCAGACCUCAGAGUUAGGAGGACAAAGCAGAAAGUGGAUUAAUAAGUGUGAUGCUAAGUGGGUCUAUUCCUUCUUCCACACCUUGGUUCUCAGACCCUGUGUGCCCUUGGUGGGCACAGUACUGCAUACAGGCUUUUCAUUCAAUGCACAUACAGAAUCCUGAAAGAUGACACCCAUCCACACAGAGUACUGCCUCUGACUUGGCAUUGUAGCUGUGUCUUCAGGAUACACGCCAGGGGUCUUGCAAGCUGGCAGCUUCUAGGUGGUGGAUUCCAUGGCCAUGGGCUCACUCUCACACCUCCCAUGCUGUAAAAAUUAGUCCUCUGGCCUUAGGUGAUAUUACAUGGAAUUCCGUACCAGUGGAUCAAAUACUCUGUAAGCCUUCAGAUAGUUGUGCUGGUCAAGACCCUGUUGUCAGGAAAGGCAAACUCACAGCCUAAAUAUGAAUCUAUUCCUCUGAGAGUGAAGAACAGAUGGAAAGGGCCUAAUGAGGUCGGCUUGCUACCAACCGGCUGAUUUGUCUCUUGAGGAAGACCAACCAGUGUGGUGCCAUAUUGGGGGUUCUAUUUCAGGCGGAUGACUUUGGGGGCAGAUAUCAUCCUGAGUGAUAGUCCACACUGCUGGCCCAUAAAGAGCCUCCCUCUUUGCCCCCACAGCCACUUGGUUCAUGCUUCUGCCGUGUUAGCACUGGAGUGGCUGAUGACAGAGGCUUGCUGAGGUCAGUGGACUGAGCCAUCUACUUGGUUGUUUAGUAUCAAAGGUAGAUACUCUCUGGGGAUGUUAACAUGUGGUACAGAGAUUUUCCCACUUCAUGCUCACCUCCACUAAAUCCACCCAAGUACCUCUACCCCAGACUCUUUAUCCCUGAUCUUUCUGUUUUUCUUAAUCAGCUGGCCAGGCACGUACCACUAUUUAGACUAACUCUGGGUCCCUUCUCUUUUCUACACCAAAUGGAUGACCAGUACACUACUCAAAGCUCUGGCCCUUGGGAGGAUUUUCCUUCGUUAUGGUUUUUCAAAAUAUAUGGCGUUGGAGUUCCCUUUGUGGUGCAGCAGAAACAAUCUGACUAGGAACCGUGAGGUUGCAAGUUCGAUCCCUGACCCCGCUCAGUGGGUUAAGGAUCUGGCAUUGCUGUGAGCUGUGGUGUAGGAUGCAAAUGCGGCUCGGAUCUGGCGUUGCUGUGCUGUGGCGUAGGCUGGCAGCUGUGGCUCCGAUUCAAUCCCUAGCCUGGGAAAUUCCAUAUGCCUCAGGUGUGGCCCUAAAAAGCUAAACAAACAAACAAAAAACCAAAACAAAACAAAAAACCCCCCAAAACAAAAAAAGAUAUGUGGUCCUGACCCAUCCAUGCAACAAGCUCAGAUUUUUUUUCUCCUCUUUCGGUUGCUCUUAUAAAAUGCCCAUACAGCCAUGGGCAUGGCCUGAGGGAGGCGCUCUGGGGUGAUCUCAGGUAGACAACAGGUUUGUCUGGGUUAGCUGUUCAUGCAGCUUGCUUGUGUCCUCCAGCACUCUUGUGCUCAAUCCUGGAAGUACCACUUCCACCCAUCUGACUCAUUCUUUCUCUACCAGGGCCCACUGGCAGGUUAGAACCUGUUUUUCAAAGGCAUAUAAUUCUUCACUGCAGAUGGCAUGGUCUUGCUCCAGAGCCUGGGGAGUUGCAUUGUGAUUCUCUCACUGGAGCCACAAAUUCCACGGGGUACCUUUCCCCACCACCUUUACUUCCAACCCCAUAGGGUCUGUCACAUCAUAUGGUCCAAGUAGCAGAAUUGCUUGCAUGUCACCUGGUACAUGAGUCAGAGCAGUAUCUCUGAGGUGUAGAAUAUGCUGACUCAACAACUUCUAGACGGUUAUCAAUGCCCUGGUUAUUGGACCUAAUUACUGAGUCCUGAAAAUGUCACAGGUGUGGGAGUCUCCACACCCUCUAGAACACAUCUCUUGUAAAGGUCUCCAGUAUGCUAGCCACCUCUUGCUCCAAUCAAUAUAAUGUCAUCCUGCGAAUGUCCAGCUGGUCCAGAUCUCUUUGAACUUAACAUGGUCUUGGAAAAAAAAUCCUUAAUGUACAUGGUCAUUUUUCUCAGAAGAUGAAUUUUUUCUAGUCCUGUGUUUUUUUUUGGAAAAAAGUGCAUUCGUCACAACCCACAGCUGUAUACCAUGUCCUUGAGGUGAUAUUGAGUUGGUUUAAUGAAGAUACCACAGCUGGCACUGUGCCUGUGAUUGUGGUUGUAUUUGAUUGAGCUUGUGAUGGUCUAUAGUGACCCUUCCCAACCCAUCUAGUUUCUUCAGGCACCAGCUCGGUCAAAUAAACAAGGAUGGAGAGGAGGAGCAGAGGCUAGAAUGAGGCAAUAAUCUCGAUUCCCCUCUCACCUCACAAUAUGACUUUACAUUUAUUUAUUUGUGCCUAGGUGGAAGGGUUAAUUUCAGAGGCUUCAUUUGGCCUUUCCCAAUACGAUAGCUCUUAUUUUGCAGUCUGAGGAUGCAAGGUGGGAGGUUAGGCCAGUUGCCAAAUAGGUCAUCACAAUUACAUAUUCGAGGGCUGGGUAAUUGACCACUUGGUGGGACCAUGUGUGCUGGGGAUCUUUGUAAAGGGGACUUUGGUCAGGACUACAUUUAUUAUUUGGCCCCCAUAGGACUCACCCUAACAUGGGGCCAUGAUGAAUCAGGUUUUGAGCAUCAUUUAGGGCUUCGGUCCAACCUUGUUCAAAAUUUCUGGGUAUUCCCUGUUCCUUAGUGCCUAGUUACCCGAGUAAAUAGCCUGUGGGGAAGAUAUGGGGGAAUCAUUACUGCGUAUACAUGCCAUGAUAUUGCAGUGUUUUUCCUCUGAUGGACCCAGCCACUUCUGUCAAUAGUUUUGGGUUUGAAAAUUGACUCAGAUUCAGAAAUUGGGCAAGGGAGAACGACUUUUCAUUGGGCAACUGCCCUCAGCUUCCUGGUGGAUCAUCUUUGAUUUCUUCUGCUAGUAAGCUGAGGCAUAAAAGUUGGGUAACAGUCCAUCUAUUUUUUUCUUUAGGAACACUAUUCCAGUAAAGAUUCUCAUAACUCGGUGAUUCUGACCUUGGCUGCCACUCUGUCUGAGCUUCCCAGUCUUCGCAGCAAUUAUGAUCAGCUUUGGAUGGGUUUGUGCUGCCACCUGGAGUCCUAUCAUCCUUACUGCUAUCAGCCCGCAUGGCUCUGUAACGGUGUCUUUAUAGAAGAGAGUCACCUCUGAACUUGCAGUGAUCCUGCUGUACCUCUGCCCAUUACAUUCCUUAUAAUAUUUGUCCCUAACUGUAUGUCCUCUUGGUCUUCCAGCCAUAGUGCAUCCAGCAGGCCCACUUCCCUGAGCCUUUCAGCUUGUGCCUUCACUGCCUGCAAUAGACAUUCUGGAACUUCAACUUUGCUCAUUAUGGACUACCACUUUUCCCAUGUUUCUAGAAGCCAUGGUGGUAGCAAGUUUGUACUGACUCCUGGAAUCCUUGCUAGGGAGUUAAAUUCUGUAUCUUUGAGAGCACUUCCAAGCCAAAAAUUCUUUUCUAUUCGAUCUUAUAUUCUGGCUCCUUUCUUCAAGCACCCUCAGGGUCUCCUCCAGCCCCUGUGGAAUCAUGGAAUGGGAAGAGGGAAGGCUAGUGAGGAUUAUGGUGAGGUAUGUCCCUAGGCUCAGACUGUUCCCAGGGGUUUGAGGAGUCAAAAAUCUUUGGGAAGGAUCCAACCAGAUGUCGCAUCUCAUGUGUCAGGUUUUCCCAACAGGAGCCCUGAUGGAGCAUAACAGACCUGCCUUUGUAGGUCUGCUACUCUGUUAAGUCCUCAUCUUGGUCCUUCCUCUUCCCUCCCACCGUAGGAGAUAAGAGCCUCUUUGUAUGCAAACAAAGAAGUCCUCUGGUUCCACAUCUGGCUUUCAAUUGCCUGGUACUUGUCCUCUGCUGUUCACGAUCCUCCUGGAGCCAUCAGUGGCACUUAGCAAUAGCCAGCCAAUCUCAUUGCUGUGUAGGCACCCUCUCCUCUCUACGCCUUCAAUGCCUGAUACACUGCAAGUGCAUGCCUUCUCGGGUAUACCAUCCCAAUUCACCACGGAUGAAACCUUAAAAACAUUGGAAAGAAGGGACAGGAGGGAAGGAAGGUGCCUGGCUCCAGGGAGAGGAUCCCAUGGAAAGCAGUCAAUUAGGGAGCUCAUUUGUUGUUACUAGUUAAACAUUCCCAAGAGCCUUCUUCCCUGGAGGGUUAGACAAAUUCUCAGCAGCAAUCAGGGGGACCCAGCUUGCUGAGGAAUCUGUAGUUGUGUGUGUGUGUCUUGUGGGAGAGAGAAGGCUGUUCUUUGAUUUUCUUUAAAAUGGUCAUGUUCUGAUCGAAUCAGCCGUAGCUUUUGAAAGAAGCAGUAAGUCACAAGCCACUUUCUAGUUUUGGCUGCCAGGCAGGACAUUCCCCUCCC
rnacentral:lncRNA from 1 species